rnacentral:rRNA from 1 species
UACGUAGGGGGCAAGCGUUGUCCGGAUUUAUUGGGCGUAAAGAGCGUGUAGGCGGCCAGAUAGGUCCGUUGUGAAAACUCGAGGCUCAACCUCGAGACGCCGAUGGAAACCAUUUGGCUAGAGUCCGGAAGAGGAGAGUGGAAUUCCUGGUGUAGCGGUGAAAUGCGUAGAUAUCGGAAGGAACACCAGUGGCGAAAGCGGCUUCCUGGUCCAGCACCGACAUUCAGGCACGAAAGCGUGGGGAGCAAACAGG